AUGGUGCAAAGGGAGAAAAAGGUGACAGUGGUGAGAAGGGGGACCAAGGUGACACCGGACCUGCUGGUCUCCCGGGUGCUCCAGGGCUCAUUGGUUUACCUGGUACCAAAGGAGAAAAGGGAAAGCCAGGGGAGCCAGGAUUGGAUGGUUUCCCUGGUCUCAGAGGAGAGAAAGGAGAGAGGAGUGAAAGAGGCGAGAAGGGUGAACGAGGAAUACCAGGGAGAAAAGGGGCCAAAGGACAGAAGGGGGAGCCAGGCCCUCCUGGACUGGAUCAGCCUUGUCCUGUGGGACCAGACGGACUGCCAGUAGCAGGAUGUUGGCAUAAG
rnacentral:lncRNA from 1 species